ACGAACGCUGGCGGCGUGCUUAACACAUGCAAGUCGAGCGGGAACCCAGGGAGGGGCAACUCUCCUUGGGGGAGAGCGGCGAACGGGUGAGUACCACGUGGGCAACCUGCCCCAGACACUGGGAUAACUCCGGGAAACCGGGGCUAAUACCGGAUACUCCGACCGGACCGCAUGAUCCGGUCGGGAAAGCUCCGACGGUCUGGGAUGGGCCCGCGGCCUAUCAGCUUGUUGGUGAGGUAACGGCCCACCAAGGCGACGACGGGUAGCUGGUCUGAGAGGACGGCCAGCCACACUGGGACUGAGACACGGCCCAGACUCCUACGGGAGGCAGCAGUGGGGAAUAUUGCGCUAAUGCGCGAAAGCGUGACGCAGCGACGCCGCGUGGGGGAUGAAGGCCCUCGGGUCGUAAACCCCUUUCGCCAGGGACGAAGCGAAAGUGACGGUACCUGGAGAAGAAGUCCCGGCUAACUACGU
rnacentral:rRNA from 1 species